GAGUUUGAUCUUGGCUCAGGACGAACGUUGGCGGCGUGCCUAACACAUGCAAGUCGAGCGUAGCUCUAGUUUACUAGAGUUCAGCGGCGGACGGCUGAGUAAUGCACAGGAACGUACCUCAGAGUGGGGGAUAGCCCCGGGAAACCGGGGGUAAUACCGCACGGUCUCGCAAGAGUAAAGCAGCAAUGCGCUUUGAGAACGGCCUGUGUCCUAUCAGGUUGUUGGUGGGGUAAUGGCCUACCAAGCCUAUGACGGGUAGCUGGUCUGAGAGGAUGACCAGCCAGAUCGGGACUGAGACACGGCCCGAACUCCUACGGGAGGCAGCAGUGGGGAAUUUUGCACAAUGGACGAAAGUCUGAUGCAGCGACGCCGCGUGGAGGAUGAAGGCCUCGGUUGUAAACGUCCUUUGUCUAGGAGCAAUUGUGUAGAGUACCUAGCGAAUAA
rnacentral:rRNA from 1 species